GGUGUUGUGGUGUAGUUGGUUAUCACAUCAGUCUAACACACUAAAGGACUUUGGUUCAAUUUUGGGCGACGCUA
rnacentral:tRNA from 1 species